UUGGAGGGCAAGUCUGGUGCCAGCAGCCGCGGUAAUUCCAGCUCCAAUAGCGUAUAUUAAAGUUGUUGCAGUUAAAAAGCUCGUAGUUGAAUUUUGGGCCUGGCUGGGUGGUCUUGCCGCAAGGUAAGCACUGCUCCGGUUGGGUCUUUCCUUCUGGGGAACCGUUGUGCUCUUAAUUGAGUGCGGCGGGGAUCCAGGACUUUUACUUUGAAAAAAUUAGAGUGUUUAAAGCAGGCUUACGCUUGAAUACAUUAGCAUGGAAUAAUAGAAUAGGACUUUGGUUCUAUUUUGUUGGUUUCUAGGACCGAAGUAAUGAUUAAUAGGGAUAGUUGGGGGCAUUAGUAUUUAAUUGUCAGAGGUGAAAUUCUUGGAUCUAUGAAAGGCUAACUUCUGCGAAAGCAUUUGCCAAGGAUGUUUUCAUUAAUCAAGAACGAAAGUUAGGGGAUCGAAGACGAUCAGAUACCGUCGUAGUCUUAACCAUAAACUAUGCCGACUAGGGGUCGGACGAUGUUAUUUUAUUGACUCGUUCGGCGCCUUACGGGAAAC
rnacentral:rRNA from 1 species